GCAAGUCGAACGCGAACGAGUUCUUCGGUAACUUUAGUAGAGUGGCGCACGGGUGAGNNACGCGUAAGUAAUCUACCCUCGCAUCUGGGAUAACCCACCGAAAGGUGUGCUAAUACCGGAUACGUCUAAGUUAAUAUCUUUUUUUUAGAGAAAGGUGGCCUCUGAUUCAAGCUACUGUGCGGGGAGGAGCUUGCGUACCAUUAGCUAGUUGGUAGGGUAACGGCCUACCAAGGCGACGAUGGUUAGCGGGUCUGAGAGGAUGAUCCGCCACACUGGAACUGAAACACGGACCAGACUCCUACGGGAGGCAGCAGUGAGGAAUAUUGCGCAAUGGGGGCAACCCUGACGCAGCGACGCCGCGUGGAUGAUGAAGGCCUUCGGGUUGUAAAAUCCUGUCAGAUGGGAAGAAGUGCUAUAUGGUUAAUACCUGUAUAGUUUGACGGUACCAUCAAAGGAAGCACCGGUUAACUCCGUGCCAGCAGCCGCGGUAAUACGGAGGGUGCAAGCGUUGUUCGGAAUUACUGGGCGUAAAGCGCGCGUAGGCGGCUAUGUAAGUCAGAUGUGAAAGCCCGCGGCUCAACCGUGGAAGUGCAUUUGAAACUGUAUAGCUUGAGUACUGGAGGGGGUAGUGGAAUUCCCGGUGUAGAGGUGAAAUUCGUAGAUAUCGGGAGGAAUACCGGUGGCGAAGGCGACUACCUGGCCAGAUACUGACGCUGAGGUGCGAAAGCGUGGGG
rnacentral:rRNA from 1 species